rnacentral:rRNA from 1 species
AACGAACGCUGGCGGCAUGCCUAACACAUGCAAGUCGAACGAUGCUUUCGGGCAUAGUGGCGCACGGGUGCGUAACGCGUGGGAAUCUGCCCUUGGGUUCGGAAUAACAGUGAGAAAUUGCUGCUAAUACCGGAUGAUGUCUUCGGACCAAAGAUUUAUCGCCCAGGGAUGAGCCCGCGUAGGAUUAGCUAGUUGGUGGGGUAAUGGCCUACCAAGGCGACGAUCCUUAGCUGGUCUGAGAGGAUGAUCAGCCACACUGGGACUGGGACACGGCCCAGACUCCUACGGGAGGCAGCAGUGGGGAAUAUUGGACAAUGGGCGCAAGCCUGAUCCAGCAAUGCCGCGUGAGUGAUGAAGGCCUUAGGGUUGUAAAGCUCUUUUACCCGGGAUGAUAAUGACAGUACCGGGAGAAUAAGCGCCGGCUAACUCCGUG